GACGAACGCUGGCGGCGUGCUUAACACAUGCAAGUCGAACGGAAAGGCCCCCAUCUUGGUGGGGGUGCUCGAGUGGCGAACGGGUGAGUAACACGUGGGUGAUCUGCCCUGUACUUCGGGAUAAGCUUGGGAAACUGGGUCUAAUACCGGAUAGGACCAUGGUUUAGUGUCUCAUGGUGGAAAGAUUAUUGUUUUGGUGCAGGAUGAGCUCGCGGCCUAUCGGCUUGUUGGUGGGGUAAUGGCCUACCAAGGCGUCGACGGGUAGCCGGCCUGAGAGGGUGGACGGCCACAUUGGGACUGAGAUACGGCCCAGACUCCUACGGGAGGCAGCAGUGGGGAAUAUUGCACAAUGGGCGCAAGCCUGAUGCAGCGACGCCGCGUGGGGGAUGACGGCCUUCGGGUUGUAAACUCCUUUCGUUAGGGACGAAACCGCACUUUUUUUGGGUGUGGUGACGGUACCUUUGUUAAGAAGCACCGGCUAACUACGUG
rnacentral:rRNA from 1 species